GAUUGUUAAGAUUACGGUUUUAACAACACGACUUGAAGAAGUUCAAGCGAGCCCGGUUCUUUCAGCACUGCUGUAAACACAUAAACAAUG
rnacentral:ncRNA from 1 species